rnacentral:tRNA from 1 species
GCAUUGGUGGUUCAGCGGUAGAAUUCUCACCUUCUAUGCAGGAGACCUGCGUUCAAGUCCUGGCCACUGCA